rnacentral:rRNA from 1 species
GACGAACGCUGGCGGCGGGCCUAAUACAUGCAAGUAGAACGCUGAAGGAGGAGCUUGCUUCUCUGGAUGAGUUGCGAACGGGUGAGUAACGCGUAGGUAACCUGCCUGGUAGCGGGGGAUAACUAUUGGAAACGAUAGCUAAUACCGCAUAAUAGUAGAUGUCGCAUGACAUUUGCUUAAAAGGUGCAAUUGCAUCACUACCAGAUGGACCUGCGUUGUAUUAGCUAGUUGGUGAGGUAACGGCUCACCAAGGCAACGAUACAUAGCCGACCUGAGAGGGUGAUCGGCCACACUGGGACUGAGACACGGCCCAGACUCCUACGGGAGGCAGCAGUAGGGAAUCUUCGGCAAUGGACGGAAGUCUGACCGAGCAACGCCGCGUGAGUGAAGAAGGUUUUCGGAUCGUAAAGCUCUGUUGUAAGAGAAGAACGAGUGUGAGAGUGGAAAGUUCACACUGUGACGGUAUCUUACCAGAAAGGGACGGCUAACUACGUG